rnacentral:rRNA from 1 species
ACACAUGCAAGUCGAACGGUAACGCGGGGCAACCUGGCGACGAGUGGCGAACGGGUGAGUAAUGUAUCGGAACGUGCCCAGUUGUGGGGGAUAACUGCUCGAAAGAGCAGCUAAUACCGCAUACGACCUGAGGGUGAAAGCGGGGGAUCGCAAGACCUCGCGCAGUUGGAGCGGCCGAUAUCAGAUUAGGUAGUUGGUGGGGUAAAGGCUCACCAAGCCAACGAUCUGUAGCUGGUCUGAGAGGACGACCAGCCACACUGGGACUGAGACACGGCCCAGACUCCUACGGGAGGCAGCAGUGGGGAAUUUUGGACAAUGGGGGCAACCCUGAUCCAGCCAUGCCGCGUGCGGGAAGAAGGCCUUCGGGUUGUAAACCGCUUUUGUCAGGGAAGAAAAGACUCCUGUUAAUACCGGGGGUUCAUGACGGUAC